AGCUUUAAGAUUUUUUAUUUAAAGUGAAGCCUGCCCAGUGAUUGAAUUUAACGGCCGCAGUACUUUGACUGUGCUAAGGUAGCAUAAUAAAUUGGCCUUUAAUUGAGGUCUAGUAUGAAAGGAAUUUUGAGAAAAAUCUUUCUCAUAAUUAUAUUUUAAAACUUAAUUAUUAGGUGAAAAUGCCUAUUUUUUUAUAUUAGACGAGAAGACCCUAAGAAUUAUAAAUAGUUUAAUUUUAAAAAAAUUAAUUUUUUUUGUUGGGGCAACAAUGUUGGAUAAAGAACCAAUAUAUAUUAUAUAAUUUACAUAUUUGUUUUUACAAUUAUGAGAUAAAUUACCUUAGGGAUAACAGCAUAAUUAAUUAAUUAGAUUGUGACCUCGAUGUUGGAUUAAGGACUUUACUUAUCAGCCAUAAUUAAAGAUAGUUCUGUUCGAACAAAGUACCUU
rnacentral:rRNA from 1 species